CUGGAUCUGAAUAAGCUUUAAAUAAGCCCUGUACCACGAAGUGUUUUCGCAUUGCUGCAUUAUUUGAUUUUCCUUUGGGAUCAAUAAAGUUAAACUAUAUAGUUUAAAUUUUAAAUGUAUAGUUUACUAUAUAUAUAAACUAUACAUUUACUAUAUGUAAAUGUAUAGUUUACAUACAGUAAACUAUACAUUUAGUUUAAAUGCAUAGUUUAAACUAUACAUUUAAACUAUCCCUGCAUCUGCAUCAGGUUCAGGGAACUGCAUCCCUGAACCUGAUGCAGUUCAGUGAAACCUAAACUGCAUCAAGAUGGAUUAAAAUAGGAAAGAAUAGAAAAGAUGCACCACGAAAUAGAAUCUGACUGAUCAGUUUAUUUUCACAUUAGUAGAAAUGGAAACAAUACUUUUACACAUAAAUGAGGGUUGAGUAGAAUAAUUCAUAUUAAAUGUAUAAACAU